GAUGAACGCUGGCGGCGUGCCUAAUACAUGCAAGUCGAGCGAACGGACGAGAAGCUUGCUUCUCUGAUGUUAGCGGCGGACGGGUGAGUAACACGUGGAUAACCUACCUAAUACUGUGAUAACUUCUGGAAACCGGUGCUAUUACCGGAUAAUAUUUUUUACCCCAUUUUUCUAAAUUGUAAGACGGUCUUUCUGUCUCUUUUAUAUGUAUCCGCGCUGCAUUAGCUAGUUGGUAAGGUAACGGCUUACCAAGGCAACGAUGCAUAGCCGACCUGAGAGGGUGAGAGGACACACGGGAAGGGAGACACGGUACAGACGACUACGGGAGGCAGCAGUAGGGAAGCUUCCGAAAUGGGCGAAAGCAUGACGGAGCAACGCCGCGUGAGUGAUGAAGGUAUUCGGAUCGUAAAACUCUGUUAUGAGGGAAGAAAAAAUGUGUAAGUAACUGUGCACAUAUUGACGGUACCUAAUCAGAAAGCAACGGCUAACUACGUG
rnacentral:rRNA from 1 species